rnacentral:rRNA from 1 species
UACGUAGGGGGCAAGCGUUGUCCGGAAUCAUUGGGCGUAAAGCGCGUGUAGGCGGCUCGAUAAGUCUGCUGUGAAAGUCCAGGGCUCAACCCUGGGAUGCCGGUGGAUACUGCCGGGCUAGAGUCCGGAAGAGGCGAGUGGAAUUCCUGGUGUAGCGGUGGAAUGCGCAGAUAUCAGGAGGAACACCAAUAGCGAAGGCAGCUCGCUGGGACGGUACUGACGCUGAGGUGCGAAAGCGUGGGGGAGCGAACAGG